UACGUAGGGGGCGAGCGUUAUCCGGAUUUAUUGGGUUUAAAGGGUGCGUAGGUGGACUAAUAAGUCAGUGGUGAAAGCCCGCAGCUUAACUGCGGAACUGCCAUUGAUACUGUUAGUCUUGAGUACAGUUGAGGUGGGCGGAAUGUGUCAUGUAGCGGUGAAAUGCUUAGAUAUGACACAGAACACCGAUUGCGAAGGCAGCUCACUAAGCUGUAACUGACACUGAGGCACGAAAGCGUGGGGAGCAAACAGG
rnacentral:rRNA from 1 species